UACGGAGGGUGCAAGCGUUAAUCGGAUUUAUUGGGCGUAAAGGGCGCGUAGGCGGCCUUCUAAGUCGAACGUGAAUCCCGGCUCAACCGGAACUGCGUCCGAUACUGGAGGCUUGAAUCCGGAGAGGAUGCGGAAUUCCAGGUGUAGCGGUGAAUGCGUAGAUAUCUGAAGGAACAUCAGUGGCGAAAGCGACUUCCUGGACCAAUACUGACGCUCAUGUGCGAAGCGUGGAGCAACAGG
rnacentral:rRNA from 1 species